CGCAUAGAAGUAACUUGGUGGACGGGAAAUGUCGCCAGUAGGAUUCAGCUCAUAACUAGUUGGCGCAGCGUGCUGUUGACCGUUGGAAGAUGGCUGCCGCGAGUUCGUUCCGCUAGUUUUGGGUGCACUUCCUAUUGGCGCACGCAAGGAUCGGUUGGUGUGUCGGCUGAUGUGGCUGGUAGUCGCUCCUGCCUUCGGGUUUGGAAACGUCCCAGCCGUCACGGCUCGAAUACAUCGACUGAGAUUUAAUCUGCCCGCUAUGUCACCUAUUAGGUGCCUUCUGUGGUGGCUGUUGGUUGUUCUACUGUAACAGGUAGACUUCCGAUGGUUUAUCGUUGAAUGGCAUUUUGUAUGGAGAUGGCAGAUAAGAUCAUUUGCGUCUGUGUCCCACACCCACCUAUAUCGUCUUGAAACACGAGCCGAGAAGUCUAACAGAAGCGCAAGUCAAUGGGUUUCAUACAAACCCCAAAGGCGAAAUGAAAGUAAAGUCGUGGCCUUGUGCUCGACGAGCUGAGAUCCAUGCCUUCGGGCGUGGCGCAUCAGCGUCCCGUCUCGUGAACCGCUUGCGGAUUCUGAGUCGGAGAUAGAGCGUUUCUGUUGGGACCCGAAAGAUGGUGAACUAUGCCUGUGUAGGAUGAAGCCAGAAGAAAUUCUGGUGGAAGUCCGUAGCGUUUUUGACGUGCAAAUCA
rnacentral:rRNA from 1 species